rnacentral:rRNA from 1 species
AAUGAACGCUGGCGGCAGGCCUAACACAUGCAAGUCGAACGGAUCCUUCGGGAUUAGUGGCGGACGGGUGAGUAACGCGUGGGAACAUACCCUUUGGUACGGAAUAGCCUCGGGAAACUGGGAGUAAUACCGUAUGUGGUCGAGAGACGAAAGAUUUAUCGCCAAAGGAUUGGCCCGCGUUGGAUUAGGUAGUUGGUGGGGGUAAUGGCCUACCAAGCCGACGAUCCAUAGCUGGUUUGAGAGGAUGAUCAGCCACACUGGGACUGAGACACGGCCCCAGACUCCUACGGGAGGCAGCAGUGGGGAAUCUUAGACAAUGGGGGAAACCCUGAUCUAGCCAUGCCGCGUGAUCGAUGAAGGCCUUAGGGUUGUAAAGAUCUUUCAGAUGGGAAGAUAAUGACGGUACCAUCAGAAGAAGCCCCGGCUAACUCCGUG